rnacentral:rRNA from 1 species
GACGAACGCUGGCGGCGUGCUUAACACAUGCAAGUCGAACGAUGAAGAAGAGAAACGCGAACUUCGGUUCAAAUUUCACUUCGGAUUAGUGGCAGACGGGUGAGUAACGCGUGAGCAACCUACCUCUUACAAAGGGAUAGCCUCGGGAAACCGUGAUUAAUACCAUAUGACACAUUCAUAAGGCAUCUUAAGAAUGUUAAAGCUACGGCGGUAAGAGAUGGGCUCGCGUCCCAUUAUCUAGUUGGUGAGGUAACGGCCCACCAAGGCGACGAUGGGUAACCGGCCUGAGAGGGUGAACGGUCACAUUGGAACUGAGACACGGUCCAAACUCCUACGGGAGGCAGCAGUGGGGAAUAUUGCACAAUGGAGGGAACUCUGAUGCAGCGACGCCGCGUGAGCGAUGAAGGAAUUCGUUUCGUAAAGCUCUGUUCUAUGGGAAGAAAAGGACUGUACCAUAGGAGAAAGCCCCGGCUAAAUACGUG